CAGCCGCCACGGUAAUACAGAGGGUGCGAGCGUUAAUCGGAUUUACUGGGCGUAAAGCGUGCGUAGGCGGCUUCUUAAGUCGGAUGUGAAAUCCCUGAGCUUAACUUAGGAAUUGCAUUCGAUACUGGGAAGCUAGAGUAUGGGAGAGGAUGGUAGAAUUCCAGGUGUAGCGGUGAAAUGCGUAGAGAUCUGGAGGAAUACCGAUUGCGAAGGCAGCCAUCUGGCCUAAUACUGACGCUGAGGUACGAAAGCAUGGGGAGCAAACAGGAUUAGAUACCCGGGUAGUCCCUGUCUCUUAUAA
rnacentral:rRNA from 1 species